UCCUUCGUUGGACGCAAAUCAUGAAAAAUAUGAGCAGCUAAAUCUUGCCGUUUAACAGGUCGCUUAACAGUAGCACUAGCAUAAGAAAUCCUAGCGUUAUCGGCCACGCUAGGAUUUACAGAAUUCCUAUCAACUGUCGUGCAAUCAGCACCACAAGGAUUUGUGGCCGAUGUCUUCCCAGCGGCAUCCUGGGCCUCAGUAGUCUUCACCGCGCUGUUACCAACCGUGGCAGAUAUAGACCGAGCGGAAGAAGAUCGAGGUUGAGGGUGUUCAAAAUUCGCAGAAACAGAGGGGAGAUUUAGGAAUCCCUUAUCUUGAGUUCCGGCCGACGAGGUAGUCAUUGGACUGCCGAGAGGAGGCACAGCGGCCUGCAGGGGAACUGGGCAGCGGGGAGAGGUGGCCCAGAUGGGUUCUUGCGCAGCUGCGCGGUCCUUCUGCCAGUUUCCGGCGAAGGAGGUGGCGC
rnacentral:lncRNA from 1 species